rnacentral:lncRNA from 1 species
UUCAAUAACAAAAGAAAUACGAACCUGAAUUAGAAAUGGAGCUGUUAAGCCUGAAUUAGAAAUGGAGCUGUUAAGCCUGAAUUAGAAACAAUAGCUGCUGCCUGCUGAGCCUGAAUUAGAAAUUAAGAAAAUGAUGAGGAUCGCAGAAACUGCAAAAAACGAAGAAACAAAGAAACUAACAAAACCAAUAAAACGAAGAAAGGAUGGUGAGCUCUGACCUGAUGCGACCUCAGAUUGAGACGAGAUGCGACCUCCGACCUGAUGGCUGCGAUGCGACCUGAGGGCUGAGAAGUGAGACCUGAUGGUGAGCUUGUGCGACCUCCGACCUGACCUGAGGGCUGAGAUUAGAGAGAAAUGGAGCGGCGCCGGCGGCCGUAAAAAUGAGAGUGAGAGGAGAGUGUGAAAUGGAGCGGCGAGGAGAGUGAGAGGAGAGUGUUGAGCUGAGAUUAGAGAGAAAUGGAGCGGCGGCCGUAACAAAGAGAGAGUGAGAGGAGAGUGUUGAGACUUGAGAGAAAUGGAGGAGCGGCGGCACCGUACGGUACGUAAGAGAGAGUGAGUGAGAGAGAGGAGAGUGU